rnacentral:ncRNA from 1 species
UUUAAAGAGAGUUUGAUCCUGGCUCAGGACGAACGCUGGCGGCGUGCCUAAUACAUGCAAGUCGAACGAAUGACCUUAGGAGCUUGCUCCUUUGGUCGUUAGUGGCGGACGGG